rnacentral:rRNA from 1 species
AGAGUUUGAUCCUGGCUCAGGAUGAACGCUAGCUACAGGCUUAACACAUGCAAGUCGAGGGGCAGCAUCAUCAAAGCUUGCUUUGAUGGAUGGCGACCGGCGCAUGGGUGAGUAACACGUAUCCAACCUGCCGACAACACUGGGAUAGCCUUUCGAAAGAAAGAUUAAUACCGGAUGGCAUAAUUAUUCCGCAUGGGAUAAUUAUUAAAGAAUUUCGGUUGUCGAUGGGGAUGCGUUCCAUUAGGCAGUUGGCGGGGUAACGGCCCACCAAACCUACGAUGGAUAGGGGUUCUGAGAGGAAGGUCCCCCACAUUGGAACUGAGACACGGCCCAAACUCCUACGGGAGGCAGCAGUGAGGAAUAUUGGUCAAUGGACGAGAGUCUGAACCAGCCAAGUAGCGUGAAGGAUGACUGCCCUAUGGGUUGUAAACUUCUUUUAUACGGGAAUAAAGUGAGCCACGUGUGGCUUUUUGUAUGUACCGUAUGAAUAAGGAUCGGCUAACUCCGUGCCAGCAGCC